AGAAGAAGGAUUUGGUGCUUCAUCUCUGACACACUUCAGGCUUUUCUUGCAUGGAAUAAUAAAGAAUGAAUAGAAUAAGCUGCUGGAUGACUCCAAAUGGAUAAGAAAGACAGCAAUUCUAGACUACCAGAGAUGGAGAAAGCAGGUGAGAAGGAAUCAGUUCAAAGAUAACACUAUUAGACGCCAAAAGCGAAGACUGUUAAAAAGCUUUAUUACUCCAUAUCUUUUGAGCAUAGGCUUUUCUUGCAUGGAAUAAUAAAGAAUGAAUAGAAUAAGCUGCUGGAUGACUCCAAAUGGAUAAGAAAGACAGCAAUUCUAGACUACCAGAGAUGGAGAAAGCAGCUAAAAUGCUUUCAAUCCUUUUCUUUAAAGAUCAUUUUCUUCACAGUGUUGGAGAAUGCAGAAAUCAACAUGUUGGGCUUGUUUGAUGCUGAUGACACACUG
rnacentral:lncRNA from 1 species